rnacentral:rRNA from 1 species
GACGAACGCUGGCGGCGUGCCUAAUACAUGCAAGUCGAACGCACUCUCGUUUAGAUUGAAGGAGCUUGCUCCUGAUUGAUAAACAUUUGAGUGAGUGGCGGACGGGUGAGUAACACGUGGGUAACCUGCCCUAAAGUGGGGGAUAACAUUUGGAAACAGAUGCUAAUACCGCAUAAAACCUAACACCGCAUGGUGUAGGGUUGAAAGAUGGUUUCGGCUAUCACUUUAGGAUGGACCCGCGGUGCAUUAGUUAGUUGGUGAGGUAAAGGCUCACCAAGACCGUGAUGCAUAGCCGACCUGAGAGGGUAAUCGGCCACACUGGGACUGAGACACGGCCCAGACUCCUACGGGAGGCAGGCAGUAGGGAAUCUUCCACAAUGGACGAAAGUCUGAUGGAGCAACGCCGCGUGAGUGAAGAAGGUUUUCGGAUCGUAAAACUCUG